CAUGGCAGGCUGUAGUUGGACUCCAGAUGGUCUUCCUAGAUGGAAUCAAGACCUCUGGAAUUGUUAAGCUUUUGCUCUGCAUCUCGGUGAUUCGUUCAAUAUGUCUUUUUUCAGAUGCGGAGGGACAAGAUGCGUGCCGCAGAGCGAUGGAGGAGGGGAGCGGAGCGCCGUAAGGAGGUGCGAAGCAAGGAGCGAAGCGGGCCAUCGGUACCGGAGGUGACUCGGGCAAGGCGGUAUGCAUGCUUUGAUGUGGCAAGCU